rnacentral:lncRNA from 1 species
UAAGAAACACUACAAUGAUUCCUCCUAGUAAUAAUAUUCCUUCAUCAACUAAUAACCAUAAUGUGCAACCCUGCACUCUCAAAAAAUCACUCAAAACUCAAUAAAUUCCAUCCAACACCAGGAAUAACAGACUUCACUCCAACCAAACUGAAUUCACAGAAUUCCUAUAAUCACAAACUUCCUCUGUCGAAACACACACACACAACUC